CAGGCAGAGGAGGCGCUGAGAGCGAGCAAGGGCUCUGAGGACUGUCAGCACGCUGUCACCUCUCACUAUUGUGAGACUUCACGUUGUGAUGGUCAAUCUAUCUAACAGCCUGUGGAUGAGGUCAAAGGAAAGAGGGAAGAAAGGAGAAAGGGGAGAAGGAAAGAACUUGAGGCUUUGAUGACCGUUGGAAUGCAGAGAAGCUAUGAGAAAAGAGCUACAAGAGAAAAAUGGCAGCAUUGCAAAGUGCAAGAACACUGAAGGGAUUAAACAGCAUUCUAGAAAACAAGACAGACCAUGAAGAGUAUGGGAAGAAACAGGAAGGCCUAUUUCCCGGUACCAUACCCAGAAGCUGUAUAAUAGGGACAACUUGCAGGCUGAGGUGCUCUCUGUGUCCUGACAUGUCAGAUUUGGGAAAUGAGUGAAGCAGAUUUACAGAUUUGCUUACUUUGGUUAAAGAACUUUACAUGUACUUCUAUCAAAACCUGAAUAUUGGCUGGGCAUGGUGGCAC
rnacentral:lncRNA from 1 species